GACAGAGGUGCCAAGCGUUAGGCGGAAUCACUGGGCUUAAAGCGUGUGUAGGCGGGCGAUCAAGUACCUUGUGAAAUCCCACGGCUCAACCGUGGAACUGCUGGGUAUACUGGUUGUCUUGAGCCAGCUAGGGGCGAGCGGAACAGACGGUGGAGCGGUGAAAUGCGUAGAUAUUCGGAAGAACACCAGUGGCGAAGGCGACUUACUGGACACAUAUUGACGCUGAGGUGCGAAAGCGUGGGGAGCAAACAGG
rnacentral:rRNA from 1 species